AACCUUUUUCUUUCACUCGGGUUUUCUAUCCAUGCACACCCCAGAGAUACUGUUAGUUCAGUUUGAGACCACUGCAAUAAAGUGAUGGACAUUUGCACUGAUUACAGAUCUUGCUGUUAGAAAUAAUAUGGUCAUGAAUGUUUUUCUGUAUGUUUGCUGGCAUAGAUGUUCAAGAACACUUCAAGGGUAUAUACCAAGAAGUGGAAUCGCCAGCUCAGGGAAGUUGUGCAACUUCAAUUUUACGUUACUGUCAAAUUAUUUUUCAAAGAGGUGGUACCAAUUUACACAUUCACUGGCAAAGUCUAAAUAUCCCUGUAGCUCUAUAUCCUUGCCCACAUAUGAUAUCACCAGAUCUUUUA